GGCUCGUUAGUCUAGGGGUAUGACUCUCACUUCAGGUGCGAGAGGUCCUGGGUUCAGCUCCCCGACGAGCCC